rfam:Daphnia pulex DAPPTscaffold_1_Cont50, whole genome shotgun sequence.
CGCUCUCAGCCUGAUCCUUGCUCGACCUAAGCCUUUGACAAUGAGCGAGGUGAGCAAAGUUUCAGGUGCGUGAGCGG